rnacentral:rRNA from 1 species
AUUGAACGCUGGCGGCAGGCCUAACACAUGCAAGUCGAGCGGAUGAAGGGAGCUUGCUCCUGGAUUCAGCGGCGGACGGGUGAGUAAUGCCUAGGAAUCUGCCUGGUAGUGGGGGAUAACGUCCGGAAACGGCGCUAAUACCGCAUACGUCCUGAGGGAGAAAGUGGGGGAUCUUCGGACCUCACGCUAUCAGAUGAGCCUAGGUCGGAUUAGCUAGUUGGUGGGGUAAAGGCCUACCAAGGCGACGAUCCGUAACUGGUCUGAGAGGAUGAUCAGGCACACUGGAAGUGAGCCGCGAUCCAGACUCCUACGGGAGGCAGCAGUGGGGAAUAUUGGACGAUGGGCGAAAGCCUGAUCCAGCCAUGCCGCGUGUGUGAAGAAGGUCUUCGGAUUGUAAAGCACUUUAAGUUGGGAGGAAGGGCAGUAAGUUAAUACCUUGCUGUUUUGACGUUACCAACAGAAGAAGCACCGGCUAACUUCGUG